rnacentral:rRNA from 1 species
GGCGUAGUCGAUGGGAAACAGGUUAAUAUACCUGUACUUGGUGUUACUGCGAAGGGGGGACGGCGAAGGCUAUGUUGGCCGGGCGACGGUUGUCCCGGUUUAAGCGUGUAGGCUGGUUUUCCAGGCAAAUCCGGAAAAUAAAGGCUGAGGCGUGAUGACGAGGCACUACGGUGCUGAAGCAACAAAUGCCCAGCUUCCAGGAAAAGCCUCUAAGCAACAGGUAACAUCAAAUCGUACCCCAAACCGACCCAGGUGGUCAGGUAGAGAAUACCA